AGUAAAAUGAUCUAUGAUUCCUGCUCCAAGGACAUCAGCAACGAUAUUAACAGUUGUUCGUAUUCUAUCUCUAAAAAAAAACGAAUUAAAAAUUAUUAUUUAUUAAAUACUUAAUAAUCCGAAUUCCAAUUGAUUCGAGUACAACAAUUAACAUUACGUAUCCACCGCUUGGCAAUCCGGCGGCUCCGAUACAAGACACUGUGCAAGUUAUUCUAAAAUAAACUACAUGCAUUAUUUAUUGAUCUUGAUGAUUGUUUUGUAAAUUAAUAGACUUACGCUAUUGAUAUAAUUUGCAUUAAAGAAAAAUCAAGCCCGCGUUGCUGAAUGAUGAAUAAUGCUCCAAUUGUUUCAUAUAAUGCAAUACCAUCCAUAUUAAUGGUCGCGCCGAUUGGUGCAAUAAACUGAGACACUUUUGGAUUAACACCGAUUCUAUUGAGGCAUUUUAUCGUCAUUGGAACAGUAGCUGUGCUGAAAAAUUACUUUGCAAUUUCAAUACUUUAUUUAACUGUGUAUGUUUUUGCUACUUAUAAUUUAAUUAU